rnacentral:rRNA from 1 species
GUCCACGCCGUAAACGAUGGAAACCUGACGUCGGAUUGCUCUGCGAUUCGGUGUCGUAGCUAACGCGCUAAGUUUCCCGCCUGGGGAGUACGGCCGCAAGGUUGAAACUCAAAGGAAUUGACGGGGGCCCGCACAAGCGGUGGAGUAUGUGGUUUAAUUCGAUGCAACGCGAAGAACCUUACCUGGGCUUGACAUGCUAGGAAUCCUGCAGAGAUGCGGGAGUGCCCGCAAGGGAACCUAGACACAGGUGCUGCAUGGCUGUCGU